UACAGAGGAUGCAAGCGUUAUCCGGAAUGAUUGGGCGUAAAGCGUCUGUAGGUGGCUUUUUAAGUCCGCCGUCAAAUCCCAGGGCUCAACUCUGGACAGGCGGUGGAAACUACCAAGCUGGAGUACGGUAGGGGCAGAGGGAAUUUCCGGUGGAGCGGUGAAAUGCGUAGAUAUCAGGAGGAACACCUGUGGCGAAAGCGGCUGCACUGGACCAUAACUGACGCUGAUGCUCGAAAGCUAGGGGAGCAAACAGG
rnacentral:rRNA from 1 species